ACAGAAUGGAAGAAAAUUUUUUCAAACUAUGCAUCUGACAAAGGUCUAAUAUUCAGAUCCAUAAAGAGCCUUAAAAAAUCUACAAACAGCCCCACCAAAAAAUAGGCGAAAUACAUGAACAAUUUUCAAAAGAAGACAAGAAGACAUACAUGUGACCAACAAACAUAUGAAAAAAAAGCUCAAUAUCACUGAUCAUUAGAAAAAAUGCCAAUCAAAAAUACAAUGAGAAACCAUCUUACUUCGAAUGGUUAACAUUAAAAA